UACAGAGGUCUCAAGCGUUGUUCGGAUUCAUUGGGCGUAAAGGGUGCGUAGGUGGCAUGGUAAGUCGGAUGUGAAAUCCCGGGGCUUAACCCCGGAACUGCAUUCGAUACUGCCAGGCUAGAGUACUGGAGAGGAGAUUGGAAUUUACGGUGUAGCAGUGAAAUGCGUAGAGAUCGUAAGGAAGACCAGUGGCGAAGGCGGGUCUCUGGACAGUUCCUGACACUGAGGCACGAAGGCCAGGGGAGCAAACGGG
rnacentral:rRNA from 1 species